GCAGGCUGNAACCCGCCUGCAUGAAGUUGGAAUUGCUAGUAAUCGCGGAUCAGCAUGCCGCGGUGAAUACGUUCCCUGGCCUUGUACACACCGCCCGUCACACCAUGGGAGCCGGUAAUACCCGAAGUCAGUAGCCUAACCGCAAGGGGGGCGCUGCCGAAGGUGGGUUCGAUAAUUGGGGUGAAGUCGUAACAAGGUAUC
rnacentral:rRNA from 1 species